CAAUAGCGUAUACUAAAGUUGUUGCGGUUAAAAAGCUCGUAGUUGGAUCUCGGGUUCGGGCUGAUGGUCCACCUAAUGGUGGUUACUGUCUGUCCCAGCCUCCUUGCCGGUUUUCUCUCGAUGCUCUUUACUGAGUGUCUUGAGUUGCCGGAACUUUUACUUUGAAAAAAUUAGAGUGCUCAGCGCAGGCACUUCGCCUGAAUAUUCGUGCAUGGAAUAAUGGAAUAGGACCUCGGUUCUAUUUUGUUGGUUUUCGGAAGUCGAGGUAAUGAUUAAGAGGGACAGACGGGGGCAUUCGUAUUGCGCCGCUAGAGGUGAAAUUCUUGGAUCGGCGCAAGACGAACAACUGCGAAAGCAUUUGCCAAGAAUGUUUUCGUUAAUCAAGAACGAAAGUCAGAGGUU
rnacentral:rRNA from 1 species